AUUGAACGCUGGCGGCAGGCCUAACACAUGCAAGUCGAGCGGAUGAAGGGAGCUUGCUCCUGGAUUCAGCGGCGGACGGGUGAGUAAUGCCUAGGAAUCUGCCUGGUAGUGGGGGAUAACGUCCGGAAACGGGCGCUAAUACCGCAUACGUCCUGAGGGAGAAAGUGGGGGAUCCUCGGACCUCACGCUAUCAGAUGAGCCUAGGUCGGAUUAGCUAGUUGGUGGGGUAAAGGCCUACCAAGGCGACGAUCCGUAACUGGUCUGAGAGGAUGAUCAGUCACACUGGAACUGAGACACGGUCGAGACUCCUACGGGAGGCAGCAGUGGGGAAUAUUGGACAAUGGGCGAAAGCCUGAUCCAGCCAUGCCGCGUGUGUGAAGAAGGUCUUCGGCUUGUAAAGCACUUUAAGUUGGGAGGAAGGGCAGUAAGUUAAUACCUUGCUGUUUUGACGUUACCAACAGAAUAAGCACCGGCUAACUUCGUG
rnacentral:rRNA from 1 species